AGCCUACUUAGCUUAGUCGGUAGAGCAUUCGCUUAGUAAGCGAAAGGUCGUCGGUUCGAAUCCGGCAGUAGGCUU
rnacentral:tRNA from 1 species